CUGCUGCCGCGGGGCCCCUGCAGGGCCCCUGCGGGGCCCCGGGGGCCCCGCAGCGCAGCAGAACACAUGCAGCAGCAGCAAAAGGG
rnacentral:snoRNA from 1 species